CCUACGGGAGGCAGCAGUGGGGAAUAUUGGGCAAUGGGCGCAAGCCUGACCCAGCAAUGCCGCGUGAAGGAAGAAGGCUUUCGGGUUGUAAACUUCUUUUGUCAGGGACGAAGCAAGUGACGGUACCUGACGAAUAAGCCACGGCUAACUACGUGCCAGCAGCCGCGGUAAUACGUAGGUGGCAAGCGUUAUACGGAUGUAUUGGGUGUAAAGGUCGUGGAGGCGGGGAUGCAAGUCAGAUGUGAAAACUAUGGGCUCAACCCAUAGCCUGCAUUUGAAACUGUAUUUCUUGAGUGCUGGAGAGGCAAUCGGAAUUCCGCGUGUAGCGGUGAAAUGCGUAGAUAUACGGAGGAACACCAGUGGCGAAGGCAGAUUGCUGGACAGUAACUGACGCUGAGGCGCGAAAGCGUGGGGAGCAAACAGGAUUAGAUACCCCUGUAGUC
rnacentral:rRNA from 1 species